CCCCCGCAGCAAGGCGCUGCCGGACCGGGCGGUGGUGAACUGCCAGUACAGCGUGGCCACCUUCAGCACCAGCGAGCGCCAGCGCCGGCCCCACGGCGACCGCAAGGCCAGCGAGAUGUCCCUGCACCUCAAGCAGACCUUCGAGGCCGCCAUCCUCACACAGCUCUUCCCACGCUCCCAGAUCGACAUCUACGUGCAGGUGGGGACGGGGACGGGGACACGGGGACGGGGAUAUGGGGACAGGACAGGGACAUGGGGACGGAGACAUGGGGAUGGGAACAGGAUGGGGACAUGGGGACGGGAUGGGGACAGGGACCAGACAGGGCAUUCGUGCUGUGUGGGACAUGGGGACAGGAUGGGGACUUGGGGACGGGAUGGGGACGUGGGGAUGGGGACAUGGGGACGGGAUGGGGACAUGGGGAUGGGGACAGGGGGGGGGGGGGGGGGGGGGCGGGGAGGGGGGGGGGGGACAGUUCCUCAAUGGGGGAUGAGGAUGGGGAGGGGAUAGAAAGGGACGGAAAAAGGGAAGGGGAAAGGGAAAGGAAAAUUAAAAGGAAGGAAGGGAAGGGAAAGGAGAAAGGAAAGGGGAAAGGGAAAAGGAAAGGGGAAAGAGAAGAAAAAAGGGAGGGGAAGGGAAAGGCAAGGCAAGGAAAAGAAACAAAAGGAAAAAGGGAAGGGAAAGGAAAGGAAAGGAAAAAGGGAAGGGAAAAAGAAGGAAAGGGAAAGGAAAAAGAAGAAAAGGAAGGGAAGGGAAAGGAAAUGAAAGGAAAACGGGAAGGGCAAGGCAAGGAAAAGAAACAAAAGGAAAAAAGGAAAGGAAAGGAGAAAGAGAAGGAAAAAGAGAAGGGAAAAAAGAAGGAAAGUGGAAGGAAGGGAAGGGAAAGGAAAGGGAAACAGAAAGGAAAGGAAGGGAAGGGAAAAGGGAACGAAAAAGGGAGGGAAAGGAAAGAGGAAAUGGGAAGGGAAGGGGAAAGAGAAGGGAAAAAGAAGGGAAGGGAAAGGAAGGGAAGAGAUGGGAAGGGAAAGGAAAGAGAAGGAAAGGAAAAGGGAAAAGAAACA
rnacentral:lncRNA from 1 species